UCCUGUGAGGGCCUCUGUAGUUCAAGAUGGCUACCCGCAACUCUAACUGCCAGCGACAGAGACAGAAGAUUCAGCCAGCUUCUUUCCUUUCCUGACUCAGCCAACUGUAAUACGGAGGUGCUUUGAAUAAAAAUAAAGUUUUGCUCACGGAUAGAUGGAAAAGUAUUAAGAAACAGCUGGAAAUGAUGGUAGCAGAGAGAACCAAAGUAACUAAAGAUGAAAAAGACUCAUUAAAGGAACUGCUUUUCAUUCCCUUACCACUGUAAGGACUGCAACUAAUAAAGAGCAAAAAGCAGAAAGAAGAGAGAUGAGUGAGCCACAAUGAAUGCUUACCCAAAACCCAAUCAGUUGGUGAACUUUUCAAGAUGGGGCACUAUGGAAAUGAAAACUUUUCUCAAGCAGGAUGAUUGACAGAAGAGACUUUAGGGAUCUGAGCAGCCCCUUGAGAUCAGAUCAAUGAGUUUUGUAAUUAAGGUUUUCAAGACUUUUACUUUUUUUUUUUAAAAGUGUCAACUGGAUUUUCUGCAAGUUUUAAGUUUGCUUGUGCCCCUUGAGAACUCAAGUACCAGACACACCUGUUUUCCACUGAACUAUAGACCUUUAAGUGUUUGGGAACCCCAGUCUGGGUGGGAUUAGUAGACAUAGUCAAAUGUUGAGUACCCUUAUUUUUUAGCUUCUCCCAUUGUAUUAAAGUUCUCUCUCAGGAAACCCAGCUCUUGGCUUGACCCUUUCCUUUUGUAUUCAUUGUAGUUUGACCUCUCCCUGGUACCCCAGCUGCUGACCACAACCUCUUUGCAGCUUGCUUGCAGCUUGUCUAUGCAUGCUUGUUUUAUCAAGUUCUCCAGCGGGUAUAACAGACCCCAAGUUCUGCCACUCUUUGCUUUUUGUAGAAUCAUCUUGGGGGUGCUGCAUUUUCCCAAAGAUACGGACUCCAGAGCUCCAGGGUGUUGACUCUGUGUAGUUUGUGGCACUUGGCUAUUGGACCUCUCUGUUUCCUGAUGCUGUUAAGGUCUGGAAUUUCACCCACCACCAAGGAAGACCUGUGGACAAUGCAAUCAGGCAAAGAAAGGGCCAUUUAUUACGGAACUGGUACGCGCACCAGUGGGAACCUCUGUCAUCCGAGUUCUGAGUUCCCUCCUAAAGAUUCAGUCUUAAAUACUUUUCAGCAUGAAUAGCCCCCCUCCCUUCCUCCUUCCAGUCCGUUAUCUGUUGCAUGCCCUUGUUGGAAAGUUGCUGGGUCUUUUUGCACCUGGGACCUUGGUCCUGACAAGUUUAUCUGUCUGUAGUGGGGACCUUGGUUAGGUCCGAAGUUUAUCUGUCUGUAGCUGAGGCCUUGGCAUUUUUCCUGGCUGAAUUUCUCAAGGCUUGGGCAAUUUUCAACUCAGAUCUCCCUCAAUGCAAGACUUGGUUUUUCUGACUACUUUAAUAGUUCUGUGUUUUUCCCAGGUUAACAUCCAAAUGGGGGCAGGAAAAGAGGAAAUAAGCAUUUAUUUUCUACAAUGUUCCAGGAACUGUGCUGGAUGCUUUCCAAAGAUAAGCAUACCUCAGAGAUAUUAUGGGUUGUGUUCUAGACCACCACAAUAAAACAAAUAGAGAAAUAAGAUGAGUCACAUGAAGUUUUGGUUUUCAGUUGUCAACCUGAAAAAACAGAACCACCAAAGCAGGUACAAAAGAACAAUACUUAAUCAGGACAAGGGAGACAGUGUUCUUGUGGUCAUAGCAUAGCCAUACACACACAUACACCACACAGAGCCACCCAGCUUGAAGAUUCUGGGAACUCUGGGAACAAGAAUGGGAAUUUCCACUGAAAUAAAGAACUUGGGAUUCAAUUUAUUCCUUAUGCAGAAUAACCAAAGAGAAACCAUCGACUGAUUAAAGGGGAACUUGGGGAAGAGGUUGUAUGGAGUACCUGGAAGAGGCUUAAAUAUAAUAAAAGAAACUAAGAAGACAAAAGAGUAAAAAAGACUUGACUACCUCCACCGCUCCUGUCCAGUGUGUUCAACAAGUGCAUGCUUGAUGGCCUGUUCAGUCUAGGACAAGGAUCAGUCAGGGACUUUCUUGAAGGCAAGUUCCAAGGGGUCAAGGGUAAAUUUAGGGUUUGAUAAAAUAAGAUUGUCACAGGACAUUUAAAAUUAUAUUUAAACUAUACCGUACCUUGGUAAGUAUGCAAAUGCCAACAAAAACCAAAAACAAUGUACAAUAUUUUAAUUUAAAAUUCUUUUUUUCUUUUUUCCUCAUUUUUCAAAUAAUAAAAACUGGCUAAUUUCUGUAUCUAAUGGGAUCCUCCACUUAGAAGAGGAGUUCCUGUAUACCUGCCCUUUGUGUUAAGAUACAUUAAUACAUUAAAAGAUCCUUUGCUUCUU